UACGGGGGGGGCAAGCGUUGUUCGGAAUUACUGGGCGUAAAGGGCUCGUAGGCGGCCAACUAAGUCAGACGUGAAAUCCCCAGGCUCAACCCGGGAACUGCGUCCGAUACUGGUGGGCUCGAAUCCGGGAGAGGGAUGCGGAAUUCCAGGUGUAGCGGUGAAAUGCGUAGAUAUCUGGAGGAACACCGGUGGCGAAGGCGGCAUCCUGGACCGGUAUUGACGCUGAGGCGCGAAAGCCAGGGGAGCAAACGGG
rnacentral:rRNA from 1 species